rnacentral:rRNA from 1 species
AGUGAACGCUGGCGGUAGGCCUAACGCAUGCAAGUCGAACGGCAGCACAGUAAGAGCUUGCUCUUACGGGUGGCGAGUGGCGGACGGGUGAGGAAUACAUCGGAAUCUACUUUUUCGUGGGGGAUAACGUAGGGAAACUUACGCUAAUACCGCAUACGACCUACGGGUGAAAGCAGGGGAUCUUCGGACCUUGCGCGAUUGAAUGAGUCGAUGUCGGAUUAGCUAGUUGGCGGGGUAAAGGCCCACCAAGGCGACGAUCCGUAGCUGGUCUGAGAGGAUGAUCAGCCACACUGGAACUGAGACACGGUCCAGACUCCUACGGGAGGCAGCAGUGGGGAAUAUUGGACAAUGGGCGCAAGCCUGAUCCAGCCAUACCGCGUGGGUGAAGAAGGCCUUCGGGUUGUAAAGCCCUUUUGUUGGGAAAGAAAAGCAGCAGGUUAAUACCCCGCUGUUCUGACGGUACCCAAAGAAUAAGCACCGGCUAACUUCGUG